GACGAACGCUGGCGGCGUGCUUAACACAUGCAAGUCGAGCGGUAAGGCCCCUUCGGGGUACACGAGCGGCGAACGGGUGAGUAACACGUGGGUGACCUGCCCUCAGCUCUGGGAUAAGCCUGGGAAACUGGGUCUAAUACCGGAUAUGACUCCAUGACGCAUGUCGUGGGGUGGAAAGCCUUGUGCGGCUGGGGAUGGGCCCGCGGCCUAUCAGCUUGUUGGUGGGGUGANGGCCUACCAAGGCGACGACGGGUAGCCGGCCUGAGAGGGCGACCGGCCACACUGGGACUGAGACACGGCCCAGACUCCUACGGGAGGCAGCAGUGGGGAAUCUUGCGCAAUGGGCGAAAGCCUGACGCAGCGACGCCGCGUGAGGGAUGACGGCCUGG
rnacentral:rRNA from 1 species